UAAGGGUGGCAGGCAACCAAGGCAGUGCCUAUAAAUACAAGUCUUUCAUAACCUCAUAAGCCAACACACCAACAUAAACAUCUUGUUCUCAAACAUAUAUUGCUAGUGUUAAUUAAUUCCCCUUUAGAACCUCAUCACCAAAUUAUCAAACCAAACAUGGGUGUCUUCACAUUUGAGCAAGAAACCACCUCUACUGUUGCACCUGCUAAGCUUUACAAAGCAGUUGUACACGAUGCCGAUGACAUUAUCGUAAAGGCUGUUGAUCAAAUCAAAAGUGUUGAAAUCGUCGAGGGUAAUGGUGGCCCUGGAUCCAUCAAGAAGCUCAAUUUCGUUGAGGGUAAGUACAUAUUAUAUACAUCCUUUUUUAAACUAAUGUUAAUAAGUUAAUAACUUAUAAGUAGUAGUGAUGAAAAUUAAUUAACUAAUCAACAUGAAUGUGUAUGCAGGAGGACAAAACUUGUAUGUGUUGCACAAAAUAGAAGCAAUUGAUGAAGCAAACUUAGCAUACAAUUACAGUAUUGUUGGAGGAGCUGGCAUUCCAGACACAGUGGAGAAGAUAUCAUUUGAGGCCAAAUUGUUUGAAGGCCCAAAUGGAGGAUCUAUUGGAAAAAUGACAGUUAAAUACCAUACCAAAGGAGAUGCUAAGCCUGUUGAAAAGGAAGUUGAAGAAGGCAAGGCUAAGGGUGAUGCUCUUUUCAAGGCUAUUGAGGGUUAUGUUUUGGCUAAUCCUAAUUACUGAUCCAUCUUCCAAAUCUAGCUACAAUAUCAUCCAUAAACAUGUAUGAGUGUGUUGGCAAUAAGCUAGUUUGGUUGUUGUUUUCUUAAUAUAAGUUUUCAAUGUAAUAAAGUGUUGGCUAAUUGUCAUUUUCCUUUUGUUGCUCAUCUUGGGAGGUUUGAUGCCUAUGUAUCUCAUUUUAUGAUCAAUAAUAAUCAAUAUAAAUGAAAGCAUCUUCCAAAUAAUUCAUUUGUUGUUAAACUAGUAUGAAACAUUCUUUUAUUUACAAGAUGAAAGUAACUUUGAAAUGAUUUUUUCCACUUAAUAAUUCAUUGUUAUCAAUCAAUUUCACUAAUAUUCCAACCAUUAAAUCAAAUGUUCUUAAUGAGAAUAUCUACUCACAAUUGUUUAUGAAAUUUCUAAUGUUACAAACAUAUCAUUAAAUAAUUUCAAAAUACAAGCAAAUACUAUAGAGUUUAGAUUCCUUAAAUUUUUAAACUUUUGAAUAAUUUUUUUGCAAUAAUAUUUAGAACAUUAUAAAAAUUAUUUUGCAAAAAAACUAUCAUUUUUUAACACAGAAUUAAUUAAGUAUGGUUCAUAAAUCUUAACUCAAUAGACAAACUAUCGAAAUUGUUAGGUCAGAUGCCGUGAUCAAGGGUCAAACCAUGACUCCUUCACUUAUUUGUGUGAGUUUCCAAUGACUAUUGUAAUUUCGUUUAUCUACUAAAAUAAUUAUGAAUUUUUUUAAAACGUCAAAAGUUUAGAAUUGAAAAUCUAUACCUAAAAAUCAAAUUUUAAGUUAUUAUUUUUGAAAAGUUUCUGCCCCCCCCCCAACCCCCCACCCAAACCUAGUUUAUUAUUUUUUUUCAUCCGGAGGGAUGAUUUUGGGUCAAUUUUUUUACUCAAAACCACUCCUCUAAAUUGUUUUUCCUUUCCUUUUCAUUUAAAUAGGUGAUUUUCACAUAUAUUUAGUUUUUUUCUCUUUUUGAUUUCAUCGUCUUAGUGCAACGUUGUGUUGGUCGUCGUCUCGUUGCGGCGUUAUUUUGUUGUCUCGUCUUGAUGUAGUGUUUGUUCGGUUCAGAUUGAAAGAUUAGAUUCGACUCAAUGCAUAUUCAACAAUGAAUGACUUUGGCGUCAUCAACAUUGUAGACUCAGAGACAUGGCUAUCCCAAGCACUUCAAGUUUGUCAUAUUUGUAGGAUUUGUCACACUUAUAUGCAUUUUGCCGUUGUAUGUUAUUAAUAUGGGUGCUGUAAGUUUGUUUGCAGAUUCACCCUUUUCAAUUUUUAGCGAUUUUGAAUUGUAUUAUUCGAUGUACUAUAUCAAUUUGAAUUAAUGAUUGUCGUUUUUAGUCCAAAAAAAAAUAAAAAAUUUCUUUUAUAAUGUUCUAAAUUGACAGAGCUUCCAUUCAUCCCUUUGAUAAGCUUCUCUUUUUGUUUGCGGUUCACCCAAAAUGUGCAUAUGCCUUAUCUCUAUCCCCAAAAAUUCACAUAAAAAAUCACCAUAACACAAACAAAAUCUUGAAUUACAUAUAGAAACAAAAUGAACAAAGAAUUUAUAUAAAAAUAAUAUCUAAAAAUAUAAAGAUAAUUAAACAAACUUGAAUUUAUAACGGACUAAAACCGCAUUCUAAUUUUUUUUUUAUAAAGACUUAACAUUUCAUUUUUUUAGAGACUAACACUGAAAAAUCAAUUAUUUGUAUGGACAGAGAGUUAUUUAAUCCAAUUUAAAUUUGUAGUUUGGGAAAAUGAUUUUUAUUUUAAAAAAUAGUAAACUAUUUAUUGUAUUUUAUUUUUACCAAAUUAGCCUCAGGGAUAGAAAUAACAGCCCAUUGUUGGUCAAAGUUGUGAUGCAUUUUAAGACCUAUAUUCAGCCAAUUCAAAAGCAUAGUUGGUGUGCAAAUUUAAAGCAAACUUAGUGUAAUUUUUAGUCCAUGGUCAUUCAAAUAUAAUAUUUGUACUUAUGUACCCAAAAAUAAAUAAAUAUUUGUACUUAAAGUUAUGACUAAAACACUGAACAUAUCCAUUUCGAUUUCACACCAAAAAAUCUAGCGUAUCAUUUUCAACUAGCUAUAGUCACAUGAGCAAACAAAGGGUAACAGUAACACAUUCAAGCUUAUACACCCAUAGUUAACAAAAAUCAUUAGAGGUAAUAAGCUUAUAGGAUGUCAUUUUGUUACGAUAGUUUUUAAAAUAUUUUCACGUGUUUAAAUUUCAUUAUGUAUAAAAUAGUUUUACAUCAAUAGUAGGAGUAUGUAUUAAUAAUUUUACAUUAAUUGUGUCAAGUUUUUUUUUUACAUUAAUAGUUGUAUAAAAAUUAAAAGAUAUUUGGACCAAAUACAAAAAUAAGUUGGUGGUGAGAGUUAGGUGGUUCGAGUGUUCGAAUUCACGUAUGUACAGUUUAAAAAGAUACGAGUGUUCUCAUGAGCUUAACAUUGUUGUUUGGGACAAUACAUUAUAUAUGCAGAAGUUAGAGUUAAGAUCUCGGACACUCCAAUUAUUCACUAAGAGUGAAAUCUAUAAUCACUUGUCUACUUGACAAAACAACAUAUAUAUACCGAAAUUAAUGUUGUGCUGUAAUAAAUAACUACAAAUAUGUUAACAAAAUAAAUAAAUCAAGUAAUGAACUCAAUUGGUUAAUUAACUUUAUCUCUAGGACGGAUCGUUCGAAAGAAUUUGAGUUUAAUUAUUGGUGGGGAUAAUCUUUUAUUAGACUUACUUACCUCACGAGUCACGACAGUUCUGGAUUACCGAACAUCCUUCACCUGAAACUGAAGAGAUAAUAAUAAAAAUCAAUCAAUAAAAUAAAUUAAAAUUUGAAAUAAAAUAUAAAUGAGAAAUAAUNNNNNNNNNNNNNNNNNNNNNNNNNNNNNNNNNNNNNNNNNNNNNUUAAAAAAAAAAAAAAAAGAGUUACUUCUAGAAGGGCGUCAACGGUUUUAGUCCACAUUAAACACACCAACAUCGCAUUCAUAUAAUUCUCCUAGGUUGCUUUAUUUCUGAAUCAUAAUUUAAUUCACAACACCUCAGUGUAAACAAACAGUACACAAAUGUUGAAUUUGAUUUGUACGUCAAGUAGAACUUCUUUGAAUUUGAAUGCUUCAAAACCGCAACGUUCAUAGGGAUAAGGAUUGUUAGUUUUCAUGGUGGAGUAAAAGACAACAACUUAAGUUUGUAAUUUCAUGUGCAUUUUUAACAGACUGUACAUAACAUUUUAUAUAUAGGAGUCGGCGUUUUAAACCUCGAACACUUUAUUUAUCAUUUUAUGGUCAAAUUCUAGCAACAACUUGACAAAAAAAAUGGAAAGUGGACCAACAAUAUAUUAUUCAAAAUAGUAAGGAAUAUAGACAAUUUAAGCAAAUAAUCACAUAUUCGAUUUUAGAUACUCUAAAGGUGAAUAAAUGGAUGUUCAGGAUUCUAAUUACAGUCUCUGCACAUAAAAUAUGAUAUCUUUAUCAACUGAACUAAACUCAAAAGAAUGUAACCGGUUAAUAGAAAAAUGAAAAGUGGGCCAACAAACUUAUCGUAUGUUAUUUGUGACGGUGAGUCAACAAAGUCUCACACAAUCUGCCGGGGCAUAAAUUAAGUGUGGCAAUUGCAACCGAAGCAGUGCCUAUAAAUACAAGCCUUUCCCAUGUUCAUAAGCCACACACCAACAUACAUAUAUAUCUUCUUCUCACUUUCAUAUUGCUAGUCUUAAUUAAUUCUCCUUUAGAACCUCUUCACCAAAUUAUACUAAACAAGCAUGGGUGUCUUCACAUUUGAGCAAGAAACCACCUCAACCGUUGCACCUGCUAAGCUUUACAAAGCUGUGGUACAUGAUGCUGAUGACAUUAUCGUAAAGGCUGUUGAUCAAAUCAAAAGUGUUGAAAUCGUCGAGGGUAAUGGUGGCCCUGGAUCCAUCAAGAAGCUCAAUUUCGUUGAGGGUUAGUACAUAUUAUAUACAUCUUUUUAUAAACUAAUGUUAAUAAGUUAUAAUUAAGAAGUAGUAUAGGGAUGAAAAUCAAUUAAAUAAAUUAAUGAACAUGAAUGUAUAUGCAGGAGGAA
rnacentral:lncRNA from 1 species